UGUGGGGAUUAUAGAGAUUCUAAUUCAAGGUGAGACUUUGGGUGGGAAUACAAAUACCUAAACCUUAACAACAGAGUUAGUUCAAAAAUGCUGAAAUGAAUUUGCUAACAGAUAUAAAACUAUAUAGUAUCUCACAGGAUGAUAAAAUAACAGAAUUAUCUUUUUACCAGGCAGAAAUCUACAAAAUAACAUGUAACUUCACAGUGUGUGGGUUUUAAUCAAGUGGAAAUAAUCAGUCAAACUCAGGUGUAUUCUGCUACUAGUGAAAUAAUCCUUAGGGAAAGGACUGUAAAACAAUGCCCCCACAUAAUGUCAAACAUCAAAAGGACAUGCAUUUGUCCUUUAUUUCUAAGUGUUGGAUAAUUUUUUCCAACACCGCUUUUUUUUUUUCCAGUGAUCUUGAAAAAUCACUGGAUCUGUCUUUUGCUGUUUUGAAAACCCUGAAAGACUGGGGUAGGUAGUAAAAUUCAAUGUAAUUUUACUAUUGAAAAUUCAAGUUACUACAUAGGAAAUAGAUUAUUUUUUCCUUCCCAAGGUCAAUUCAAUUCUGUCUUUCAUUAUCUGAAAGCUCACAAGAAGUCGUAUGUUUUGCUUUCUGAAGCCACUUAUGUUUACUAAAGUAUAAGAAACGUCCUAUCUUGAAGUGUUCACGGAUACAGUAUAUAUGCCCAUGAAUCUCCUAAAAUUUCAUUCAGAUAAUUGCUUUAGGUGCACAUGUGCAUUUCUGUUAAAAAGAGAACGAAGUUCUAUGAUCACAGAGGGUUACAAAACACUGCCCAGUGGGGUUUCUAGUAGCUAGUACUUCCAUGGAGUUAGUUGUCACAUUACAGGGUGCCUUUACCUUUUCCUCACACGUGUUCUGUUGCCUUCUUUAGAAUCACCAGUAUACGCUCUGCUUCUAGUCACACCCCUGCUAUCCACCAGCCUGGAAACAUCUGCAUCCUUCUCAGGACAAAAGUUCUAGAGGCUGAGAAGUCCAAGAUCAAGGUGCUGGCAGAUCUGGUCUCUGAUGAAUUGCACACAUGUAUUCUUACUCUAUCAUCUCCUGUCGACUAUGAAAGAUAAGAUAAGAACACGAUUUUUAUUUAGGAGUUCAUGUCAUUCUUCACUGUAGAAAUCUCAAGUUACUUUGCUAAAGGAAAACUGAAGAUGAUUGAAAACAAAGAUUGAGCACUGAAUAAAAAAAGAAAAAGAAAAAGCUGUGGUCCAACGAAGUCAAAAUAGACUUUCAGAGAAAUGCACCAGGCCUUCUAAGACUGAAAGACUGUGGCCUGUCCCUGUUCCAUAUCAAUAAGGAAAGCAAAGCUGCAGAGUGUCGCUGGUCGACUGACAACGUCUGAGUUUGUCACUGGGUAAGCACUGGCCUGGCUGAAGGUGGUCCGUUGUGGGCAUGUGGUGUCUGAGGAUUAUGGAGUCGAGGUGCCUCUCCUUUGUACAUUAUAAGCCAUGGACAGGAUAUGUUGCCCAGUCAGGGAAGCACCGGGUAGCUAAGCCAAGAGACCUGGUCCCUUUGAUCCUUUCAUUGAAAUUCCAGUUGGAUGUUAAACCCUCUCCUUCUACCUGCAUGUCUUUGUAUAUCAUGUCUCUUUCAUUGUCUCUAAUUCCUUGCCCUACGGUGCUGCCUCUGUGCCGUGUCUUCAUAUCUGGUAUACAGCUUGCAGUGGCAAGAGUCCCCAGAAUACCUAGACCACCAUACUCAUA